ACUAUUCCCUGACCCUGGAAUGCUGGCGUGUGCAGCUGUGCUGCGGGCCAGGCCUCCUUCGGGGCUGGGAGGAGAGGAUCCAGGCCCUGGAUGCGAGAAAGCGGGGUCAGGAGUCAAUGAGUCGCUCCCUGCCCGCAUCCCUCCCUUUCUCCAGUUGUCUGAGAGAUAGCCAGCGUGGGUGAGUGCUCGCUCGCUCUCUCCCUCCCCGCAGCCGCCCGCCCCUGCUCCUCCCCUCUCCGGAACCGCUGCCCCCUCAGCCCUGAUGCCCUCUGGGUUCUGUUUUCAUACCGCGUUGCGGAUCCGGUCGUGGGAAGCAGGUGCAGGGGCCUGCAGGGCCGAGGCCCGCUAAGGCAAGCAGCCUGUCCCGUGUUCACGGCUACAGAGAGACGUGUGGACCCCCAGCUCAGAGCCUAGGCUGCCUGUGCACAGGGCCCAGGGGGCUUUCAGCCCACCUCACACAGAUACACAAUAAGAAAAAGAGUGUGAGCAAGACCGUGACAGCGGGACACAUCUGUUUCCUUAAGAGCUCAGGGUGAGGUGGAGAGAGAGAGAGAGUGAUGUUUCAGCUUGUUCUCCACUCGCAGCUUCCUGUGCGAGGCUGUUCACAAAAUAAACUUCUAGGAUCUGCGCUGACUCCUCUAGGAACCCCGGACUCCGUUUUCUCAGAGACCCAAUCUGGUACCCACACACCCUGAGGAAUAGCAUGUCCUACACUGAUGGAUGCCCACUCCAAAGAGCUGCAGCCUUUGGGUGGCCCCUGUCCCAGCUGCUGCCCUGUCCAUCCUUGUCUCCCCAGGUCUGAGGCCUCAUAAGCAGGGACUCAAAAACGUGCCUCUGUCAGGUGGUCAUUCUGGCUUCAUAUGGCUCUUCAUCCUGACCUCUCCAGUUUAGUGAGAGAAGUAUGUCCAACGCGCAUAUGCGCAGUUAUUUUACUUACCCGCAUGCCCGCAUGCAAUCAUUCAUCAUCCAUCCAUCAUCUAGAGGACGAAGUCUGAGUUUGUGAGUGUGUACAUUCCUCCAUUAGCCGCACCCAGCCUGUCCACUACCAUUUCCCUGGUCUCCAGCCAGAACCGGUGACAGUUUCCUAAGCAGGUCCUGCUGCACUCCUGGUCAAGAUGGAGUAGUGGAAGUGGAGCAGCCACUAGGAAGACAUUAAAAAUAGAACCACAUUCCUCAAAACAUUAAAAAUAGAACCACUAUCUGAUUCAGUAAUUCCACUUCUGGGUAUUAUAAGGGAACAAAAUUGCUAUCUUGAAAAGAUAGCUGCACCCCAUGUUCAUUGCAACAUUGUUCACAAGAGCCAAGAUGUGGAAGUAACCUAAGUGUCCAUCAGUGGACAAAUUGAUAUAGAAGUUGUGCUGUCUAUAGUCGAUGGAAUAUUACUCAGCCAUUAAAAGGAGGAAAUGCUGCCAUUUGUCACAACAUGGGUGGACGCUGAGGGUAUUAUGCUAAGUGAAAUAAGCCAGACAGAAAAACAAAUACUGUAUGAUCUUAUUUAUAUAUGGAGUCUAAAAAAGCUGAACUCAUAGAUUCAGAGAACAGAUUAGUUAUUGCCAGAGGCAGGAAGAAAUAAGUAAAGGGGGUAAAAGGUACAAAUUUCCAGUUAUCAGAUAAAUAAGUCUUGGAAAUGUAAUGUACUUUCUGGUGACUAUAGUUAACGAUACUGUAUUAUAUAUUCGAAAGUUGCUAAGAGAGUAAAUCUUAAAAAUUCUCAUCAAAAGGAAAAAAUUGUAACUACACAUGGUGAUAGAUGUCAGCUAAACUUAUUGUGGUGAUUAUUUUGCAAUACAUGCAACUAUCAAAUCAUUAUGUUGUAUACCUAAAACUAAUAUAAUGUUACAUGUCAAUUAUAUCUCAAUUUAAAAAAGUGUUGAGUUCUCUAUUCCAACCACAAAGCCAUGAUGAAUAAAAAACAUUUUAAAAGAUAA